AAGAAUUAUCUCACUGAAGAUGUCCAUAGUGUCAAGGACUAGAAACCCUGCCAUAGAUGUUUCUAUUCUGUGACAUUUAUGUUUAAUGUGGUUUACUAUGCUGUGAAUAAUUGGAGGGGAAACUGGAUUGUGAAAGCAAAACUGCUCCUGAAAAUUGUCACCCAUGACAAGUGUUUGGAAAACAAACCAAACCCUACAAUACUUUCUUCUUAAAACCUGGGCAAGAUCUGCACACCUAGAGGUGGUGUCUAGUGAACAAUUGAUGGUUGCUUCCCAGUAUCUUCUCAUCCAUUCUUUAUGCCUUUUUGCAACAGCUGGGGCAGGAUCUCCAGGGGUUUCUGGUGAACCCACACCAAUUCCAGAUCCUGUGGGGAGGAUGUGGCUGAGGUUGAGAGAUCAGGCAUGUGGUCAUCCUGGCCUGAGAGACCAGUGGCAGAGGGGUGGGUGUGUGACCCAUGCAAAGGGAACUCCAGGUAUUUUCUGGGAAUGCUGGGACAGGAGCUCUCCCCUUAAGAGUGGGAGGGAGUGAGAACUGACACUUAGGAGAGAUCAGAGUGAAAGGCAGGUAGGAUAGGGAUCCAGGACUCUGAGGACUUGCAGUUUGACAAUUGAUCUGCCCUCUGCUUUUACUUCAGCCACUUGCAUUUUGCUUUUGUUUUGUUUUGCUUUUUGAGACAGAGUUUUUCUCUGUCACCCAGGCUGGAGUGCAAUGGUGUGAUCACAGCUCACUGCAGCCUCAACUUCCCAGGCUAAAGCAAUCCUCCCAUCUCAGCCUCCUGCAUAGCUGGGACCACUUUGAUUUUUUUUGACAUAAAUCACCAUAUAUCUUGGGGAACAAAUGUCUCCCACUCAGCAAACUAGAACUGCAAUAGGGACUCAACUGUUGGGGGUUGGCAGCCUGGGGUUCAUGUGGGGAUGUCUUCCCAAGGGAAUCAACUUGAUCUCGAUCCUAAAUCUCCUCUUCUGAGCUUCUGCCUUACACAGCUGUCUUCCCUAACUGGGAUCCCCAGUUAGAACGUUGAUGGCUGUUGAGGAGCAGAAAUCAUGCUGUGUUUUGUCCACCUGGUGAGAACCUGGAGGGUGGGAUGAUGAAUAAGCCAGAGUGUAGGGGGCAGGACCGGCACCUGAGGCAGGGAGCCCCAGCCCUAUUCACAAAGCCCCAUGUGCUGCCUGGGACCCUCGGUCACCAGGACUCACCUCACACAGCCCCCAAUGCUGGUCUCCUGCCCUGCUCUUUUCCACCUGCAAACCUUAGCUGAAGGAGCUCCCUCCGCCUGGAACACCUUCCACCUUCCUACCCUCCUUCCACGCUUGGCUUCAAUCCCCUCUCCUCUGCAAAGCCUUCUUGGAUUACCCUGAAUUCUUAGCCUGUUUAUUGACUGUCAGGGCUGAGUCACAUGGUGUAUUUUCAUUAUCUACCCAACUAGAUUAUAUGCCCCUGGAAGGCAGGCUUGUGUCCUCUGCCUUUGCAUUCUUGCAGUACUAGUUGUCUGGAAGGGCCAAUGGCCCCAGGCACAGAGCCACCUAGGGCUGUGUGAUUGGGGGUUCCUGCUUUACAUGACUUCGUUUGGAAGAAGAGGACAGACAGCUGGCUGGGGAGACAGGCUUUGUGACCCUACACUUCCCAGUCCCGCUGCCAAUCAAGGGACUUACAUGUGUGUAUAAUAUCCAUGUUCUCAGGUGCUCGUGCACUUGCCUUGUUCUUCCAUGUGCUUUUCUGCUCCUCACUUUGUGAUGAUUUCUUCGCACUUCAUUCCAGCUUCACUGCUUCCCAGCUGAGGGACUGCUGCCAAGUUCUCAACUUCUAUGUCCCUCCUCUCCUCACCUGCACCUGCCCUGUAGGGUAAUUAUAAGGCUUCAGCGAGCUACGUCCUGGAGGUGCUCCCUGAAUGUUACCUGUGAGGAGGAGCAGUGGAGCAGGGGAAUGCAGAGGAAGAAGAGGUAUCGUGGAAGAAGGGGUAGUCUUACUGGCUAUGUAUUGAGCAAUUUUCAAAGUUGGGAGUGUCUUACGCAGCCAUUUGUUUAGACCUUGGCUGUCCAGUGUGGUGGUCACUGGAUACAGGUGGCAAGUGAACACUUGAAAUGUGGCUAGUGCAAACAGAUGUGCCACAAACAUAAAAGGCAUUGGGUUUGGAAGAUUUAGUAUGAGGAAGGGAAUGUACAAUACUUAAUAUUUUUUCAUAUGAAUUACAUGUUGAACUAAUAUUUUGGAUAUAUUAGGUUUAAUAAAAUCUAUUAUUAGAAUUAAUUUCACCUGUUUCUGAUAACAAUGUUUUUUGAUGUUUCCACUAGAAAAUUUCAAAUGACAUCUGUGGCUCCCAUUCGCUGAUCUGAAUGGGACUUACAGAAAGUGACUUUGGGCAUAUUGAAUAGAACUUGCAGCCCAUACAAUAUCUCUUGCAUUGGACAAUCAUGGCAGAAAUCCCACUAGAGCAGCCUCAUUGCUUAAAGACCUUGAGCUUUAGGAAAUUGUAAGGUUCUCUAGGGAAUUUUGAGCUAUCAGUCAUUUGCACCGUACUAUGAAUAAGCACCAGAGUCUUUUUUUUGGAAAGCAGAUUUUGAUAUGAGGAGUGGGGUCAGAGGAAGACAGAAGGAAAUAAGAACCGUGACAGCAAUGAGCAGGGAAGAGAGGGGAAAGGGGCCCCUCCCACGUGGGUGAAAGGAACUGAGUGGGCAGAUGGUGAAACUGACCCACAAAUGAUGCCUUCACGGCUUUGUGUCUUGAUUCCUUUUGUCCUUCUCACAGUCCUGUCACGGUGGUCUGCAUGUUGUGGGAGCACACAAUAACUGUUAGAGCUUGAUGGCCAUAAAUAAAAUUUGAAAGAAGGAUUUGGCUAUAUGAGACAAUUUCCCACUUGGCAUGAUUUGGCCUGGAGCCUGCAGACUAUCCACGGGGUGACUAACCAUCACUUCUUUACUGGGCAAGGAGUUUUCCUGUGUGUUUUUUUCCUCCUUAUCUAUUUUCAUGGCAUGUUGAGAUGGGGUUGGAGCCAGGACUUCAUGCAGAAGUGAAGAGCCUGGUGCUCAGCAGAGGGAGUGGCCUGCUUUCGGUCACACAGGAGCGGUGGAUCCCGCAGCUCAAAUUUGUCUUGUAUCACUGAACUCCACAAUGGACAGCCAUUCAUUCCUUACAGAGCCUUAAGACGGCUUAUGAACACUACAAGAAAGCACCCCAGGAGAGACCUCUCUCUGGGGGAGGAACAGUGAACCUGGCUUGCCUGCCUCGGAAAGAAACCCUGAAGGACGUUUUCCUUGUUAAGAUUGCUCUUGUUAAAAAGCUGUGCAGUCCUAAAAUGUUAUUGAACAAUAGCUUUUCACACAAAGGCUGUGUAGCCAACAGUCCCCUCUAACCUGCUGCAACUCCUUGGCUUCCAUCUCCUGCAGAGGCUGCAGGGCAGGAGCCCAGGGCUCUACUGUGGCCUCCUCGGCCUCACCAUCCUCACCAGCUUGGCUUCCAUUCCUUCUGAACAGUCUUCUCCCCUGGGUACUUCUAUUUCCCUGUCUGUUGGGAGGGCUAUAGGAAAAGUGACUUGUAAAACUUUUAGUUAAGACAUCUCUUUAGUGCCAAUUGUUUGUUGGUGCUGUGAUUGUCGAGUUUUGUCUAAAUUUUGUCUAAAGUUAGAUACUUUACUUGGGAACAUUGUCUGAUAUCUACAUCAGAAAAAGAUCCGCACAGGUUAUUUGCAAUCCACUCAAACCAAGAAAUUACCUGGAUAUAGUUGGUGACAAAAGUGAUAGUUGGUAUCAAGGAAUGG
rnacentral:lncRNA from 1 species